GACGAACGCUGGCGGCGUGCCUAAUACAUGCAAGUAGAACGCUGAAGAGAGGAGCUUGCUCUUCUUGGAUGAGUUGCGAACGGGUGAGUAACGCGUAGGUAACCUGCCUUGUAGCGGGGAUAACUAUUGGAAACGAUAGCUAAUACCGCAUAACAAUGGAUGACACAUGUCAUUUAUUUGAAAGGGGCAAUUGCUCCACUACAAGAUGGACCUGCGUUGUAUUAGCUAGUAGGUGAGGUAACGGCUCACCUAGGCGACGAUACAUAGCCGACCUGAGAGGGUGAUCGGCCACACUGGGACUGAGACACGGCCCAGACUCCUACGGGAGGCAGCAGUAGGGAAUCUUCGGCAAUGGGGGCAACCCUGACCGAGCAACGCCGCGUGAGUGAAGAAGGUUUUCGGAUCGUAAAGCUCUGUUGUAAGUCAAGAACGAGUGUGAGAGUGGAAAGUUCACACUGUGACGGUAGCUUACCAGAAAGGGACGGCUAACUACGUG
rnacentral:rRNA from 1 species